GAGUUUGAUCCUGGCUCAGAAUCAACGCUGGCGGCGUGCCUCAGACAUGCAAGUCGAACGAUUAAAGCUCUCUUCGGAGAGUGCAUAGAGUGGCGCACGGGUGAGUAACACGUAAGUAAUCUACCUUCGAGUGGGGAAUAACGUCCGGAAACGGACGCUAAUACCGCAUAAUGCAGCGGCAUCGCAAGAUGACAGUUGUUAAAGGAGCAAUUCGCUUGAAGAGGAGCUUGCGGCAGAUUAGCUAGUUGGUAAGGUAAUGGCUUACCAAGGCUACGAUCUGUAACCGGUCUAAGAGGACGGUCGGUCACACUGACACUGAAUAACGGGUCAGACUCCUACGGGAGGCAGCAGUCGGGAAUUUUGGGCAAUGGGCGAAAGCCUGACCCAGCAACGCCGCGUGAAGGAUGAAGUAUUUCGGUAUGUAAACUUCGAAAGAAUGGGAAGAAUCAAUGACGGUACCAUUUAUAAGGUCCGGCUAACUACGUGCCAGCAGCCGCGGUAAUACGUAGGGACCAAGCGUUGUUCGGAUUUACUGGGCGUAAAGGGCGCGUAGGCGGCUUAACAAGUCACUUGUGAAAUCUCCGGGCUUAACUCGGAACUGCCAAGUGAAACUGUCAAGCUAGAGUGCAGAAGGGGCAAUCGGAAUUCUUGGUGUAGCGGUGAAAUGCGUAGAUAUCAAGAGGAACACCUGAGGUGAAGACGGGUUGCUGGGCUGACACUGACGCUGAGGCGCGAAAGCCAGGGGAGCAAACGGGAUUAGAUACCCCGGUAGUCCUGGCCCUAAACGAUGAAUACUUGGUGUCUGGAGUAAUAUGUGCUCCGGGUGCCGUCGCUAACGUUUUUAGUAUUCCGCCUGGGGAGUACGCUCGCAAGAGUGAACUCAAAGGAAUNGACGGGGACCCCACAACGGUGGACAUGUGGUUAAUNCGACGCACNCGAAAACCUUACUAGGCUANAUGUGAGGNANUCUGCGUACACCAGGCUCUGGAACCANACCAAACAGNGCUGCUGNUUUCCCNCCUCUUGUCCUGAAUNUGGUUAAUCCCCACAGNNCACCUUUCACGUGCCUCNUAAUUGNACUUNUNAACCCCUUANAACGAGANGGGGANAUUCAGCUUG
rnacentral:rRNA from 1 species